GCCCGGGUGGUCUAGUGGUAUGAUUCUCGCUUAGUAAGGCCCACUUAACAUUACCAAACUCAGUUAUCUUGUUACUAACAAGACCUCCAGGGGUUCACCCUUAGCAAAUAUGCGAGAGGUCCCGCGUUCGAUCCGCGGCUCGGGCC